rnacentral:rRNA from 1 species
UGGGGAAUAUUGCGCAAUGGGGGAAACCCUGACGCAGCAACGCCGCGUGGAGGAUGAAUCCCUUCGGGGUGUAAACUCCUUUUCUGAGGGAAGAUUAUGACGGUACCUCAGGAAUAAGCACCGGCUAACUCCGUGCCAGCAGCCGCGGUAAUACGGAGGGUGCAAGCGUUACUCGGAAUCACUGGGCGUAAAGGGCGCGUAGGCGGCUUAAUAAGUCGGGUGUGAAAGCCCACAGCUCAACUGUGGAACUGCAUCCGAAACUGUUAAGCUAGAGUUCGGAAGAGGCAGGUGGAAUUGGUGGUGUAGGGGUAAAAUCCGUAGAGAUCACCAGGAAUACCCAUUGCGAAGGCGACCUGCUGGGACGAUACUGACGCUGAGGCGCGAAAGCGUGGGGAGCAAACA